ACAGAAAUCAGAUCAAAUAUCCCCAGCUCUCACGCAGCAACUCUUCCUCUGGUUUAGGGAUGAUGGAGGAGUCUCAAACCCAGGGCCUCUGUGUCAAAAUGUGUCUUCUAUUAGUCUAUUUUAACAUUUGUCAGAGUAGAGCACACUUCUGAAUUUAAAUCAACCCAAUUUUAGAACCAAGUAUUAGACACUAAAUUUCAAAUUCCAUGGUUGUAGUUCACUACUCCUGUGUGGCUGUCUGUGCUACAGGUUUCUCACAUAAGCCUGGGGAGCACCCCCUAGUGCCUGAAUGUCCUCCACCUUUUCCUUGUGGACACAGAAGCUUCACUGACCACCCUCGUAGUUACAGGAAGCUCUGCGCAUCCAUGCUCUCUGUUCCUUCCCCACUUGCUGCUCGCUGCGGCUGCUGGCAAUGCUUCCUGUUGAUUUGCAAUACCGCAUUGGACACCUUCCUACAUAAGUGUUUCCCCAUCGCGCUGUCUUCUCUGCCUGAGGCUAAAGUGAGGAAUGGGGCCGGGUGCAGUGGCUCAUGCCUGUAAUCCCAGCACUUUGGGAGGCUGAGGCGGGCGGAUCACUUGAGGUCAGGAGUUCGAGACCACCCUGGCCAGCAUGGUGAAACAAUGUCUCUACUAAAAAUAUGAAAAUUAGCUGGGCAUGGUGGUGGGCGCCUGUAGCCCCAGCUACUCUGGAGGCUGAGGCACGAGAAUCAUUUGAACCUGGGAGAUAAAGGUUGCAGUGAGCCGAGAUCACACCACUGUAUUCCAGCCUGGGUAAAAGGGCUAGACUCCGUCUCAAAAAAAUAAAAUAAAAUAAAAUAAAAUAAUAAAAUAAAAUAAAGUGAGAAAUGGUGUGGUGUGGCUGGGGAAUGCUGCCCCAACAACCACACAGCCUAGUUCCUGAGGGGUGGCAGUUCUCAGACUGCAGCUCUCCCUGAACAGGUGCCAUAGCUGGUACACCUGGCUGUAUGUAUCUGCUGUAUCAGUGAACCACUAAAAUACCAACUCCAGAUAAUUUUUCCUUAAACUGCCCUCUUACUAGGGUUUUAUUUAAAAUUUGUUCAAGAUUGGAAACUUUAUGAUUUCAAAUAAUAACAUCUGUAAAAAAAGGUUUCAUGUAGUAGCUCAUUUUCUCCCCUAAUGCAUAUGAAAAGAAAUGCAUAGGAAUUAAAAUUUUUUAUUUAAAUAUUUAAAUCUCUCUUGGCACACCAGGAUUUGUGUGUGCUCUGAGGUGAGACCUGCUGGCUGCACCAUGACUUGUCCCAGCUGAUCCCUCACUAGUGGUCACUUCAGACCUACAACUUCCCCCAUGUGACGACCAACAUGCCAGUGCAACAUGGCUGAAAAUGCACUGGGGAGGAAAAAGGGAAAAAAUCCAAAAAUACCAUAGUAAAAAGGCAUGAAGAGGCCGGGCAUGGUGGCUCACACCUGUAAUCCCAACACUUUGUGGGGCCAAGGCAGGCGGAUCACCUGAGGUUAGGAGUUCAAGCUCAGCCUGGCCAACAGGGCGAAACCCUGUGUCCACUAAAAAUACAAAAAUUAGCCGGGCAUGGUGGUGUGCACCUGUAAUCCCAGCUACUCAGGAGGCUGAGCAGAAUUGCUUGAACUCGGGAGGUGGAGGUUGCAGUGAGCCAAGCAAGAUCGCACCACUGCACUCCAGCCUGGGCGACAGAGCGAGAAUCCGUCUGAAAAGAAAAAAAAAAAAAAAAAGCAUGAACAGCUGUGAAAUAACUGCAGGGAGGGUGGAGACACCCGAUAUUAGAAGCCCUGUGAAAGAACCAGCCUUCCUUUCCUCCCCCAGGGCCAUGACACGACACUGAGUUUAACCAGGUUAGAAGGCAGAGGCCUGGUGGGGGGGCGGUCCACAGGCCUGCAGCUCAUCGUGAGAAACCCCCUUGGGGCUCAAAUACCCCAAAAUGAAGACCCAAGCAACAACCUCAGAAGCAGGAGCUUCUCUCUGAACUUUUGCCCCCUUCUCUCAGUCUCAUCAUCCCGAGGCUAGCCACAGAAACUAGAAUCCCUCUUCCCCUAGGCGGGCCCUAGAAACCAGAGCCCCCUUUCCCCAAAGCCAGCCAUAAAACCUAAAAACAGGACUCUCACUUUCCCUCUGCCGUAUCUGUGUAAAAACUGGCCAUAAAGUAAUAAUCUGAUCCACCUUGUUUGACUAUAGGUCAUAAGACCCCCAUUCCAGAGGGUCCUGCCCCACACCCAGAAGGUAGGCAGGCAGGCUGCUCAGAGAGACCAAGAAGAAUCUAGACAGGCCUGGCUGCAUUUCCCUGUUCAGUCAGCAUAGGAUCCUGCACUUUUUGCCAAUCCCAUUUCUACUCGGCUGGCCACACUUUGCUGAGCCUAAGCCUAACAAUGGACAGCUUCCCAUCUUUGGGUCUUCAUUCUGAAGACGCCCAUGUCUACAUGCUAAAUAAAUUUGCGUGUCUUUUCUCCUGUUACUCUGCCUUUUGCAAGUUAAUUUUUCAGUGAACCUUCAGAGGGCCAAGGAGAAAGGUCUCCCUUGGCCCCUGCAGCUUACCUUCCCAUAAUAAGGUAGCAGCCCCUGCAGGAAGGGCCACAAGGUCCUCCCUGGGGAAAAGACUGGCACUGGGCUGACAGAAAAUGGUCAUUUUGGUCCUGGCCCUCUCCUAGAAUGAGGCCCACCACAACCAGCAUCCAUGGAGACAGGGAGGCAGGGAGCCAGGAUGGGCCCAGGCCACACUGGGGUCAGUGGCAGAUCUCUAGGUCUGCUCAGCCAGGUACCCUGGCCCUUGGGCUCUGGGCCAGCCUCUGCUGGGAGCCCCCAACUCUAGAGCUUCUUUCCUUGGUCACACCAGCUCCACUGGCUCCAGAAGGCCCCACCCUUCCCAAGCUGUACCCCAGGACACAGGCUCAUGCUCCCAC
rnacentral:lncRNA from 10 species